rnacentral:lncRNA from 1 species
UUUUCAAUGGAGUCUAUUGCAAAUCAGAUAAGGUGUGCGAUCCAGAGGAUGGAGUUUUCGAUGGGGUGGGGUUUGAUAUGGGAUGGGGUGCGUAUGCCAGAGGAGGGAGUUUUCGAUGGGGUGGGGUUUGAUAUGGGAUGAGGUGCAUCUGCAAGAGGAGGGAGUUUCGAUAGAGUGGGGUUUCAUAUGGGAUGGGAUUUACACAGGUAAGUUAAGGAAUGAGGUUCAUGAGGGCAAUUUUGGAAGACAAAUGGGGUGUAGUGAGUAAUUCUAAAUUUUACUAAAAUUCAGUGGGGUGUAAAGAGAAUGUGGGGUUCGAGAGCAAAUUUUGGGGUGCCCAUAAAAUCACUAUUUAGAAUAUGAAGCUUCAACCUAAAAGCAAGCAUAAAGUAAGGGGUUUGUAGUUCAAGUGGUUAAGAGCAUUUACACUUGCAUCCUAGGUCCUAAGUUCGAUUCCCCCUCCUCCAAUAACGCUUUGUAUAAAUUUAAAAAAAAAAAAACAAGUACAAAAGAUAGAGAGCUUAUAUCAUAUUAUAGGGUAUAAUUUAAACCAAUAUGUCCUAUUAAUUGUUCAAAACAUCACUAUAUAUGAAAAUUAAAUUCACUCCUAU